GUUACAGUGGCCGAGUGGUUAAGGCGACGCCCUGCUAUUAGGCGUUGGGUUUUACCUGCGCAGGUUCGAAUCCUGUCUGUGACG